GUAAUCUGAGCCUGUCCUCUAAGAGGCUCUCACCCAUGUGAGUUGACAUCUUACGGUCAACUCACAUGGGUGAGAGCCUCUAAUAGGACAGGCUCAGAUC